UUCGGUCGCCCCAUACUCGCGCUCCAAACUGAUAACGGAAAAGAGUUUGACAACGUCGCCUUUCGCACACUUCUUGCCUCUCACGGCACCACCUUCCGUCUGACUUGCCCCUACACUUCCCAGCAGAACGGCCGCGCCGAGCGCAUUCUCCGCACUCUUAAUGACUGCGUUCGCACGUUACUCUUUCACUCUAACGUGCCCACUCGGUUUUGGCCCGAUACCCUCGCUACCGCCACUCUCUUAGUUAACAUUCGUCCAUGUCGCCCUCGCUGGAACUACGCCCCUCACCACCUUCUCUUC
rnacentral:rRNA from 1 species